GACGAACGCUGGCGGCGUGCUUAACACAUGCAAGUCGAACGGAAAGGCCCUGCUUGCAGGGUAUUCGAGUGGCGAACGGGUGAGUAACACGUGGGUGAUCUGCCCUGCACUUCGGGAUAAGCCUGGGAAACUGGGUCUAAUACCGGAUAGGAGCCAUUUUUAGUGUGAUGGUUGGAAAGUUUUUUCGGUGUAGGAUGAGCUCGCGGCCUAUCAGCUUGUUGGUGGGGUAAUGGCCUACCAAGGCGGCGACGGGUAGCCGGCCUGAGAGGGUGGACGGCCACAUUGGGACUGAGAUACGGCCCAGACUCCUACGGGAGGCAGCAGUGGGGAAUAUUGCACAAUGGGCGCAAGCCUGAUGCGGCGACGCCGCGUGGGGGAUGACGGCCUUCGGGUUGUAAACUCCUUUCGCUAGGGACGAAGCUUCUUGUGACGGUACCUAGAUAAGAAGCACCGGCUAACUACGUG
rnacentral:rRNA from 1 species